rnacentral:rRNA from 1 species
GGGGAGCAGCCCAGAGCCUGAAUCAGUGUGUGUGUUAGUGGAAGCGUCUGGAAAGGCGCGCGAUACAGGGUGACAGCCCCGUACACAAAAAUGCACAUGCUGUGAGCUCGAUGAGUAGGGCGGGACACGUGGUAUCCUGUCUGAAUAUGGGGGGACCAUCCUCCAAGGCUAAAUACUCCUGACUGACCGAUAGUGAACCAGUACCGUGAGGGAAAGGCGAAAAGAACCCCGGCGAGGGGAGUGAAAAAGAACCUGAAACCGUGUACGUACAAGCAGUGGGAGCACAGAGCAAUCUGUGUGACUGCGUACCUUUUGUAUAAUGGGUCAGCGACUUAUAUUCUGUAGCAAGGUUAACCGAAUAGGGGAGCCGAAGGGAAACCGAGUCUUAACUGGGCGUUAAGUUGCAGGGUAUAGACCCGAAACCCGGUGAUCUAGCCAUGGGCAGGUUGAAGGUUGGGUAACACUAACUGGAGGACCGAACCGACUAAUGUUGAAAAAUUAGCGGAUGACUUGUGGCUGGGGGUGAAAGGCCAAUCAAACCGGGAGAUAGCUGGUUCUCCCCGAAAGCUAUUUAGGUAGCGCCUCGUGAAUUCAUCUCCGGGGGUAGAGCACUGUUUCGGCAAGGGGGUCAUCCCGACUUACCAACCCGAUGCAAACUGCGAAUACCGGAGAAUGUUAUCACGGGAGACACACGGCGGGUGCUAACGUCCGUCGUGAAGAGGGAAACAACCCAGACCGCCAGCUAAGGUCCCAAAGUCAUGGUUAAGUGGGAAACGAUGUGGGAAGGCCCAGACAGCCAGGAUGUUGGCUUAGAAGCAGCCAUCAUUUAAAGAAAGCGUAAUAGCUCACUGGUCGAGUCGGCCUGCGCGGAAGAUGUAACGGGGCUAAACCAUGCACCGAAGCUGCGGCAGCGACGCUUAUGCGUUGUUGGGUAGGGGAGCGUUCUGUAAGCCUGUGAAGGUGUGCUGUGAGGCAUGCUGGAGGUAUCAGAAGUGCGAAUGCUGACAUAAGUAACGAUAAAGCGGGUGAAAAGCCCGCUCGCCGGAAGACCAAGGGUUCCUGUCCAACGUUAAUCGGGGCAGGGUGAGUCGACCCCUAAGGCGAGGCCGAAAGGCGUAGUCGAUGGGAAACAGGUUAAUAUUCCUGUACUUGGUGUUACUGCGAAGGGGGGACGGAGAAGGCUAUGUUGGCCGGGCGACGGUUGUCCCGGUUUAAGCGUGUAGGCUGGUUUUCCAGGCAAAUCCGGAAAAUCAAGGCUGAGGCGUGAUGACGAGGCACUACGGUGCUGAAGCAACAAAUGCCCUGCUUCCAGGAAAAGCCUCUAAGCAUCAGGUAACAUCAAAUCGUACCCCAAACCGACACAGGUGGUCAGGUAGAGAAUACCAAGGCGCUUGAGAGAACUCGGGUGAAGGAACUAGGCAAAAUGGUGCCGUAACUUCGGGAGAAGGCACGCUGAUAUGUAGGUGAAGUCCCUCGCGGAUGGAGCUGAAAUCAGUCGAAGAUACCAGCUGGCUGCAACUGUUUAUUAAAAACACAGCACUGUGCAAACACGAAAGUGGACGUAUACGGUGUGACGCCUGCCCGGUGCCGGAAGGUUAAUUGAUGGGGU